rnacentral:ncRNA from 1 species
GACUGCCGUAUGAGGGGAAACUCUCACGUACGGUACGGAGUGGGGGAAAAGAUGGAGAUAACCUCAAAAUCUUACCUAUCACUAA